GAGGGCAGAGCUCAGGGGUAGAGCGUGUGCUUUGCGUGCACGGGUCCUGGGUUCAAUCCCCAGUACCUGUU
rnacentral:tRNA from 1 species